rnacentral:rRNA from 1 species
AGUGAACGCUGGCGGUAGGCCUAACACAUGCAAGUCGAACGGCAGCACAGUAAGAGCUUGCUCUUACGGGUGGCGAGUGGCGGACGGGUGGGGAAUACAUCGGAAUCUACUUUUUCGUGGGGGAUAACGUAGGGAAACUUACGCUAAUACCGCAUACGACCUACGGGUGAAAGCCGGGGAUCUUCGGACCUUGCGCGAUUGAAUGAGCCGAUGUCGGAUUAGCUAGUUGGCGGGGUAAAGGCCCACCAAGGCGACGAUCCGUAGCUGGUCUGAGAGGAUGAUCAGCCACACUGGAACUGAGACACGGUCCAGACUCCUACGGGAGGCAGCAGUGGGGAAUAUUGGACAAUGGGCGCAAGCCUGAUCCAGCCAUACCGCGUGGGUGAAGAAGGCCUUCGGGUUGUAAAGCCCUUUUGUUGGGAAAGAAAAGCAGCAGGUUAAUACCCCGCUGUUCUGACGGUACCCAAAGAAUAAGCACCGGCUAACUUCGUG